rnacentral:rRNA from 1 species
UACGGGGGGAGCAAGCGUUGUUCGGAUUUACUGGGCGUAAAGGGCGCGUAGGCGGCCAGCACUAGUCAGUUGUGAAAUCUCCGAGCUUAACUCGGAAAGGUCAACUGAUACUGUCGGACUAGAGUACAGAAGGGGCAACUGGAAUUCUCGGUGUAGCGGUGAAAUGCGUAGAUAUCGAGAGGAACACCUGCGGCGAAGGCGGGUUGCUGGGCUGAUACUGACGCUGAGGCGCGAAAGCCAGGGGAGCGAACGGG